AAUUAGUAUGUAUAAAUCAUGCAUUGAAACGAGGACAGCGGCGCGAUAGAGGUUGCGCGGAAGGGAGCGGCCGCUGGCCGCUGCAGUGUUGCCAGGUGGGGCGUGCAUUUCACGAGAACAACAUGGCGCGUGAAGCUGCGGUGGCGGAGUAGAAGGACGAGAGAAGGCGAAGAAGAAAUGAAAAAUCAGCAUACUAACCUUGAAAUUGAAUUACAAUAUCUGUUGCAAAUUUUGUUAGAUUAAACGAAACUCAAACUUUACAAAGUCACAUGAUCUAAUAAAAUAAAUUUUUUACCGUAAAUUUUAUUAAUUUAUUAAUUUUAAUUAUUUGAUAUUUUGGUCUUCUUUCCUUUUCUUCAUCUUCAUCACCAUUUUCGUUCAUAUUCAUUCCAAUCCCAAAAAUAUCAGAAAAAUUAAAAUUCCAAAAUCAAGAUUUCCAUGAUUUAUUCAAUCUUGUUUUGGUUCAUUAUGGAUCAUUUGAAUGUUUGAAUAUGAAGAUUAUUUUUCUGAGCACUGAUACCUGUAUUUAAAUCCAUAAAUUCAUUAAUAUAUGAUAGAACACUUUUCGCG
rnacentral:lncRNA from 1 species